UACGGAGGGUGCAAGCGUUAUCCGGAUUCACUGGGGUUAAAGGGUGCGUAGGUGGCUUGGUAAGUCAGUGGUGAAAGCCCGGAGCUCAACUCCGGAACUGCCUUUAAAACUGCAUCGCUUGAAUCCAGGAGAGGUGAGUGGAAUUCCGAGUGUAGAGGUGAAAUUCGUAGAUAUUCGCAAGAACACCAGUGGCGAAGGCGGCUCACUGGCCCGAUACUGACGCUGAGGCACGAAAGCGUGGGGAGCAAACAGG
rnacentral:rRNA from 1 species